rnacentral:rRNA from 1 species
GUUGAACGAGAUUAGUUUAGCAAUAGACUAUGAAAGUGGCGCACGGGUGCGUAACACGUAUGCAACCUGCCCUUGACUGGAGAAUAGCCUCUCGAAAGAGAGAUUAAUGUUCCAUAACAUAUAGAUUAAGCAUUUAGUUUAUAUCAAAGCUCCGGCGGUCAAGGAUGGGCAUGCGGUUGAUUAGCUAGUUGGUGAGGUAACGGCUCACCAAGGCGACGAUCAAUAGGGGGUCUGAGAGGAUGUCCCCCCACACUGGUACUGAGACACGGACCAGACUCCUACGGGAGGCAGCAGUAGGGAAUAUUGGUCAAUGGAGGCAACUCUGAACCAGCCAUGCCGCGUGCAGGAAGACUGCCCUAUGGGUUGUAAACUGCUUUUGUACGGGAAGAAAUGUUACUACGUGUAGUAAUUUGACGGUACCGUAAGAAUAAGGAUCGGCUAACUUCGUGCCAGCAGCCGCGGUAAUACGAAGGAUCCAAGCGUUGUCCGGAUGUACUGGGUUUAAAGGGAGCGUAGGCGGUUUUAUAAGUCAGUGGUGAAAGCCUUCAGCUUAACUGAAGAAUUGCCAUUGAAACUGUAGGACUCGAGUAUGGUUGAGGUCACUGGAAUAUAACAUGUAGCGGUGAAAUGCUUAGAUAUGUUAUAGAACACCAAUUGCGAAGGCAGGUGACUAAGCCAUAACUGACGCUGAGGCUCGAAAGCGUGGGGAGCAAACAGGAUUAGAUACCCUGGUAGUCCACGCCCUAAACGUUGAAUACUCGGUCUU